rnacentral:tRNA from 1 species
AAAAUCCGUCGAAUUUUUAAAUACGUGAGGGUUCAAGUCCCUCUAUCCCCA